AUCUAUAGCCAUACCACUCUGAAUAUGCCUGAUCUCGUCUGAUCUCAGAAGCUAAGCAGGGUUGGGCCUGGUUACUACUUGGAUGGGAGACCCUGCCUCUACAAAAC
rnacentral:rRNA from 1 species